GGGCUUGACAUCCCACGAACCUGCAGAGAUGCAGUGUGCCUUCGGGCGUACUGAGACGGGUGGUGCAUGGUUGUCGUCAGCUCGUGUCGUGAGAUGUUGGGUUAAGUCCCGCAACGAGCGCAACCCUUGUUCACAGUUACUAACGGGUCAAGCCGAGGACUCUGUGGAGACUGCCGGUGAUAAACCGGAGGAAGGUGGGGAUGACGUCAAGUCAGCAUGGCCUUUAUGUCUGGGGCCACACACGUGCUACAAUGGCAGGUACAAACCGUCGCGAGCCCGCGAGGGGGAGCUAAUCGGAUAAAACCUGUCUCAGUUCGGAUUGUAGGCUGCAACUCGCCUGCAUGAAGUUGGAAUCGCUAGUAAUCGCGGAUCAGCACGCCGCGGUGAAUACGUUCCCGGGCCUUGUACACACCGCCCGUCACAUCACGAAAGCUGGCUGUACUCGAAGUCGCUGAG
rnacentral:rRNA from 1 species